rnacentral:rRNA from 1 species
ACGAACGCUGGCGGCGUGCUUCACCCAUGCCAGUCGCACGGAAAGGCCCUGCUUUUGUGGGGUGCUCGAGUGGCGAACGGGUGAGUAACACGUGAGUAACCUGCCCUUGACUUUGGGAUAACUUCAGGAAACUGGGGCUAAUACCGGAUAGGAGCUCCUGCUGCAUGGUGGGGGUUGGAAAGUUUCGGCGGUUGGGGAUGGACUCGCGGCUUAUCAGCUUGUUGGUGGGGUAGUGGCUUACCAAGGCUUUGACGGGUAGCCGGCCUGAGAGGGUGACCGGCCACAUUGGGACUGAGAUACGGCCCAGACUCCUACGGGAGGCAGCAGUGGGGAAUAUUGCACAAUGGGCGGAAGCCUGAUGCAGCAACGCCGCGUGCGGGAUGACGGCCUUCGGGCUGUAAACCGCUUUCGCCUGUGACGAAGCGUGAGUGACGGUAAUGGGUAAAGAAGCACCGGCUAACUACGUG